CUUUGCUGAUUAUGCUGAAGCUCACAUGAAGCUUUCUGAGUUGGGGUUUGCUGAUGCCUGAGGAGAAAAGAGGCAAGUGUGUUAGGGAAGACAUUUUGUUUUUGUUGCUCUGGUAAUUUUGGGUGCUCACUUUAGACAUAAAGCAGAUUAUGUUAAAGCGCAUCUCUGUAAUAAGAACCCCGUGGCUGUACUCUUGUUUUGCUGUAGUCUGCUAAAUCCAAUGCAAUCAUUUUGGUGGGG
rnacentral:misc_RNA from 1 species